AACAGGAUUAGAUACCCUGGUAGUCCACGCCCUAAACGAUGUCUACUAGUUGUCGGGUCUUAAUUGACUUGGUAACGCAGCUAACGCGUGAAGUAGACCGCCUGGGGAGUACGGUCGCAAGAUUAAAACUCAAAGGAAUUGACGGGGACCCGCACAAGCGGUGGAUGAUGUGGAUUAAUUCGAUGCAACGCGAAAAACCUUACCUACCCUUGACAUGUCAGGAACCUCCGAGAGAUUGGAGGGUGCCCGAAAGGGAGCCUGAACACAGGUGCUGCAUGGCUGUCGUCAGCUCGUGUCGUGAGAUGUUGGGUUAAGUCCCGCAACGAGCGCAACCCUUGUCAUUAGUUGCUACGAAAGGGCACUCUAAUGAGACUGCCGGUGACAAACCGGAGGAAGGUGGGGAUGACGUCAAGUCCUCAUGGCCCUUAUGGGUAGGGCUUCACACGUCAUACAAUGGUACAUACAGAGGGCCGCCAACCCGCGAGGGGGAGCUAAUCCCAGAAAGUGUAUCGUAGUCCGGAUCGCAGUCUGCAACUCGACUGCGUGAAGUUGGAAUCGCUAGUAAUCGCGGAUCAGCAUGUCGCGGUGAAUACGUUCCCGGGUCUUGUACACACCGCCCGUCACACCAUGGGAGCGGGUUUUACCAGAAGUAGGUAGCUUAACCGCAAGGAGGGCGCUUACCACGGUAGGAUUCGUGACUGGGGUGAAGUCGUAACAAGGUAACC
rnacentral:rRNA from 1 species